GAUGAACGCUAGCUACAGGCUUAACACAUGCAAGUCGAGGGGAAACGGCAUUGAGUGCUUGCACUCUUUGGACGUCGACCGGCGCACGGGUGAGUAACGCGUAUCCAACCUUCCCAUUACUGUGGGAUAACCUGCCGAAAGGCAGACUAAUACCGCAUAGUCUUCGAUGACGGCAUCAGAUUUGAAGUAAAGAUUUAUCGGUAAUGGAUGGGGAUGCGUCUGAUUAUCUUGUUGGCGGGGUAACGGCCCACCAAGGCUACGAUCAGUAGGGGUUCUGAGAGGAAGGUCCCCCACAUUGGAACUGAGACACGGUCCAAACUCCUACGGGAGGCAGCAGUGAGGAAUAUUGGUCAAUGGACGGAAGUCUGAACCAGCCAAGUAGCGUGCAGGAUGACGGCCCUAUGGGUUGUAAACUGCUUUUGUAUGGGGAUAAAGUUAGGGACGUGUCCCUAUUUGCAGGUACCAUACGAAUAAGGACCGGCUAAUUCCGUGCCAGCAGCCGCGGUAAUACGGAAGGUCCAGGCGUUAUCCGGAUUUAUUGGGUUUAAAGGGAGCGUAGGCUGGAGAUUAAGUGUGUUGUGAAAUGUAGACGCUCAACGUCUGAAUUGCAGCGCAUACUGGUUUCCUUGAGUACGCACAACGUUGGCGGAAUUCGUCGUGUAGCGGUGAAAUGCUUAGAUAUGACGAAGAACUCCGAUUGCGAAGGCAGCUGACGGGAGCGCAACUGACGCUUAAGCUCGAAGGUGCGGGUAUCAAACAGG
rnacentral:rRNA from 1 species